GAAGAAGAAGAAGAGUUUGGAUUUGAUAUCCCGCUUUAUCACUACCCGAAGGAGUCUCAAAGCGGCUAACAUUCUCCUUUCCCUUCCUCCCCCACAACAAACACUCUGUGAGAAAGCAAGGGCACUUGAAAGUGCUGCAAAAUUGGCUGGGUUGUGAGGCGCCAGCACCCAUCGACAUACCUAUCAAGGGGACGGAAUCUGAGGUGGCAGGCAUGAUCUCAGCAACAAGCAGCAUGAAAACCGUGAGAGACAGGAGGACCGUAAUACCUGCAAUCAAAUUGCGAAGGAGACAAAAGAGUCAGCUGGCAGCAAGAAAACAAGCAAUGCUAAGCCUGAUAUGAGGACGCAUGGAAUCACUUCGAGCAUCUGCAGAUCAAGCAGCCAGCCAUUGUGCGUCCAGGAGCCAAACUUCAAAUCGCAUUUCUGCACAUCAAAAGGAAACCAGCGGACAUCAAUGUAACAUGUGCUCUUCAAGAUGCCUGAGGUAGGAAAUGGCAAGAUGGGCAGCUUUGUGAGUAGAGAUUCCUUCAUGCUAUUACAGACUUGGGCCAGGUUAUCUUAAAGAGUACCUCCUCCCAUAGAUGCCACCUGAACCUUAAGAUCCUCUUCAAAGGACCUUCUCCUUUUGCCUCCUCCAAGUCAGCUGAAGCAAUUAUCAAGUACAGAGCCUUUUUGGUAGUGGCACCGUUCCUACUGAAUGACAUUCCAGAGAUUCUUGCCUGGCCCAACUCACCUGACUCUGCUUUAUACAUGAUUGAAGCAGAUCCUGGUUAAACACCCACAAACUGGGCAUGAUCACAUGCACUUUGGUCAGCUGUGAAAAUUGCAACCUGCUCAUAGUCUAGCUAAGUUCCAUGGAUUAUACUACUUUUGCAAACUUCUGUUUACUGCAUAUCACCAAACGUUCUACAAGUCUGUUUCAAAUUACAACUGCAAUGCUUCUUCAACAAAAAACGACAACAAAGACACUUUGGAGCGUGUGCUGACAUUCAUAAAAGAGCAUAUAAUGGCCAUAUAUCCCCUUGGAAUUGAUUUCAUUUUCUUAUAACUUGCUCUCCAGUAGAAACCUGCC